rnacentral:rRNA from 1 species
UACGUAGGGAGCAAGCGUUGUCCGGAAUCAUUGGGCGUAAAGCGCGCGUAGGCGGCCUCGUAAGUCCGUUGUGAAAGUCAAAGGCUCAACCUUUGAAAGCCGAUGGAUACUGUGAGGCUAGAGUCCGGAAGAGGCGAGUGGAAUUCCUGGUGUAGCGGUGGAAUGCGCAGAUAUCAGGAGGAACACCGAUGGCGAAGGCAGGUCUCUGGGCCACUACUGACGCUGAGAAGCGAAAGCGUGGGGAGCGAACAGG